CCACAAGAGAAAGUCUAUUUAAACCCCCAGGAGACCCCUCCAUUUUGUCUUCAGCUGGCUAAAGAGAGCCUCUCCACCCCCCAAGGAUACCUGAAAGAAACUGGAACAAAGGACAGUAACUACAGGGGGUGUGAGUGAUUCCUGGACCCAGACUAGCAGGAGGCUAGUCUAUAAAAGGAAGCUUACUGGAACUGCAGAGCUUUUCUAUAUACAAACGUACAUCAGAAGAGAGACAAUCAGAUCUACUACAUGGUGAAGACAUCUGAAAGAAUCUCCUUAAAAAGACCUCCAUCACCUUCAAACAGGCAUAAGACUCACCAUAUGAAAAGUGCAGAUGUGGAGCUUUUGCUAAAGAAUAUUGGAAACACUACUACAAUCCUUGGAGGAGUAAUUCACAUUUGCACAAGCAUCAUUGCUCACUGGCUGAAUGUUUCCUAUGAUUAAGGAGAAGUUAUGUGCAGAAUUGACCUGCUUCAUCUUGGCCAACUUUUCUUGGCAUGUGCACCUCUGCAGCAUAAGAAUGAGGUUCCAAGGUAUCUGUUUAGGGUACUACUAGCUGGAUAAUAAAACAGCUGCAGAAU